UACGUAGGGGGCAAGCGUUGUCCGGAAUCAUUGGGCGUAAAGCGCGUGUAGGCGGCCAGAAAAGUCCGCUGUGAAAACUCGAGGCUCAACUUCGAGCUGUCGGUGGAAACUUUCUGGCUAGAGUCCGGAAGAGGAGAGUGGAAUUCCUGGUGUAGCGGUGAAAUGCGCAGAUAUCAGGAAGAACACCGAUGGCGAAGGCAGCUCUCUGGGACGGUACCGACGCUGAGACGCGAAAGCGUGGGGAGCGAACAGG
rnacentral:rRNA from 1 species